UCAGUGGCGGACGGGUGAGUAACGCGUGAGUAACCUGCCUUUCAGAGGGGGAUAACGUUCUGAAAAGAACGCUAAUACCGCAUAAGAUUGUAGCUUCGCAUGGAGCAGCAAUCAAAGGAGCAAUCCGCUGAAAGAUGGACUCGCGUCCGAUUAGAUAGUUGGCGGGGUAACGGCCCACCAAGUCGACGAUCGGUAGCCGGACUGAGAGGUUGAUCGGCCACAUUGGGACUGAGACACGGCCCAGACUCC
rnacentral:rRNA from 1 species